UACGUAGGUGGCAAGCGUUGUCCGGAAUUAUUGGGCGUAAAGCGCGCACAGGCGGCCUUUUAAGUCUGAUGUGAAAGCCCACGGCUCAACCGUGGAAGGUCAUUGGAAACUGAAAGGCUUGAGUACAGAAGAGGAAAGCGGAAUUCCACGUGUAGCGGUGAAAUGCGUAGAGAUGUGGAGGAACACCAGUGGCGAAGGCGGCUUUCUGGUCUGUAACUGACGCUGAGGCGCGAAAGCGUGGGGAGCAAACAGG
rnacentral:rRNA from 1 species